rnacentral:rRNA from 1 species
UUUAGUAAUUGCGAAUGAACAAGGAUAUGCUUAGCUUGACAAAUGGAGCUAUUGGCUUUGAAUUGUAUUGUGGAAAUGUAUUACCAACAGAGGUGCAGGUGCCAGCCUAUUGAAAUAAAGCGUCAAUGAGGGUGAGAAUCCUGUUUGUCAUGUGCAGCCCUUUGUGCACGGUGUAUAUUUGCUGAGUCACACUCCUUGGCAUUGGAAUGCAAAGUGGGUGGUAAGUUUCAUGUAAAGGUAAACAUGCAAUUGAGACUGAUAGCACACAAGUACCAUGAGGGAAAUAUGAAAAGGACUUUGAAAAGAGAAUUAAAUGAGUUUGUAUUUGCUGAACACAAAGUAAACAGACUUGAUUUGCUUGGUGGGAGUGUUGCACUUGCUUGACAAGAGCUUUGGGCUGUGGGUGUAAUGAUUCUUUCUUUGCAUGCCAGUUUCUAUUUGUACAUCUGAUUACCUUUGCACAUGAAUGAUAAGUCUCCUGUGGGGGGUGGAUUGCAUGUGCAUGUAAUGAUUUGUGUUUUGAUAAAUGUGUCUGGUGUAUGUGUGUGUUCCUGUGCUUGGGGAUGCUUCCUUCCUUGGACUUACAAGCCCUGACACACACAUGCUGGCAAAAUGCUUCUGCUUGACCCGUCUUGAAACACGGACCAAGGAGUCUAACAGAUGUGCAAAGUUUGAAGGUGGUAUACCUUUGUGUGCAAUGAAAGUGUCAGCUGGGAUAUGUGCACCAGCACCCAAUUAAUUAGCGGACAGAGGUUUGAGUUGGAGCAUAUCUAUUAGGACCCGAAAGAUGGUGAACUAUGCCUGAACAGAAUGAAUUCAGAGGAAACUCUGAUGGAGGUUCGUAUCGAUACUGACGUGCAAAUCGUUCGUCAUAUUUGGGUAUAGGGGCGAAAGACUAAUCGAACCAUCUAGUAGCUGGUUCCCUCCGAAGUUUCCCUCAGGAUAGCUGGAGUUGCUCAGUUUUAUCAGGUAAAGCGAAUGAUUAGAGGAAUUGGGGACAGGUUUGUCUUUGACCUAUUCUCAAACUUUAAAUGGGUAAUAUGUAGUGGUUGCUGUAUGGAACUUCUAAGAUAAAUGGCAAUAUUGGGU